CCUGGUGGGUUACAGCCCAUUGGAUUGCAAAAGAGUCAGACAUGACUGAGCAACUGAGCAGACAGAGCUACUGCCAGUAGGACCUCAUUGUAACUUGACUAUGCAGAGAUUCUAUUUCUGAAUGAAGUCAGCGUCUCAGCUUACUGCUGACUGUCUCAGGUGGCAAGAGGAAGUGGUAUUUGGACAAAAAUAAUUUAACCCUUUUGCUUUGAAGACUGAAAAGCUCAAGGUCACAGCACUGACAGGAAGAAAAUUGACAUGUUAGAAACCAGCAAUUCAUGGAAAGAGGGGAUCUUCCCAACCCAGGGAUCGAACCCAGGUCUCCCGAAUUGCAUGCGGAUUCUUUACCAGCUGAGCCACAAGGGAAUCACAAGGGAAGAUGUGAAUAGAAGGACAAUUAAGGGAGGAGGUUGGGACCUGCCCAGACUGCACAUUUCUUUUCUCGAAGUCAGGAGACCUCCCUGACCAAAUAUAUACAGAAAAAAGUUCCUUGGAAGUCAAAGGGAAGUUAUAUCAAGGGUAUUCCCUACCCAUAUGCCUUUUCAAUAAAAUCCAUCUUGGCUAAGAGAAACAAGUUCACACACGGGAGGAUCCUGAAAUAUAUCAAAUAUGGACUGUGAACCAGGCAAAUUGAAACAAUUAACCAAAGGAAACCCAGAAGAAAUGCUCCACAAAAGUGAUUCAAACUGCGAUGAGGAAGCAAUUCUGUAACUCUCUCUCCUUGAGUCCACCCAUGUGUUUAUCCACAUGUACUAUACGUUUUCCUUUUAAUAAAUAAUAAGAA